rnacentral:rRNA from 1 species
GACGAACGCUGGCGGCGUGCCUAAUACAUGCAAGUAGAACGCUGAAGAGAGGAGCUUGCUCUUCUUGGAUGAGUUGCGAACGGGUGAGUAACGCGUAGGUAACCUGCCUUGUAGCGGGGGAUAACUAUUGGAAACGAUAGCUAAUACCGCAUAACAAUGGAUGACACAUGUCAUUUAUUUGAAAGGGGCAAUUGCUCCACUACAAGAUGGACCUGCGUUGUAUUAGCUAGUAGGUGAGGUAAUGGCUCACCUAGGCGACGAUACAUAGCCGACCUGAGAGGGUGAUCGGCCACACUGGGACUGAGACACGGCCCAGACUCCUACGGGAGGCAGCAGUAGGGAAUCUUCGGCUAUGGGGGCAACCCUGACCGAGCAACGCCGCGUGAGUGAAGAAGGUUUUCGGAUCGUAAAGCUCGGUUGUAAGUCAAGAACGGGUGUGAGAGUGGAAAGUUCACACUGUGACGGUAGCUUACCAGAAAGGGACGGCUAACUACGUG